rnacentral:lncRNA from 1 species
GGAUUAUAAUCGUGCUGUUAUUCAUUGCUAUUGUUGUUGUGGCUGCCGUUCCCACCUAACUUGCCAGCCGAUGAUGCGGCGUGGGAGUGGGUACCCUUAUCUUUCCAGCCAGAUCCACCGACACCGAAGCCGCAUCAAGCCCCUACACAUUGAACAUAUAUCUAUAUAUAUAUAAAUCGAAACAAAAAAGUUGUAAUUUUAAUUAUUUCCAUAUUUUUCCAUUUUAAUAUAAGUACCUAUGAAAUGACUUAACAGUCACGUAUUUGUGGAAUAAAUCUCUCCAGAAACUUUUAGACUUUAAAAAAUA